AUUGAACGCUGGCGGCAGGCCUAACACAUGCAAGUCGAGCGGUAGAGAGGUGCUUGCAUCUCUUGAGAGCGGCGGACGGGUGAGUAAUGCCUAGGAAUCUGCCUAGUGGUGGGGGAUAACGUUCGGAAACGGACGCUAAUACCGCAUACGUCCUACGGGAGAAAGCGGGGGAUCUUCGGACCUCGCGCCAUUAGAUGAGCCUAGGUCGGAUUAGCUAGUUGGUGAGGUAAUGGCUCACCAAGGCGACGAUCCGUAACUGGUCUGAGAGGAUGAUCAGUCACACUGGAACUGAGACACGGUCCAGACUCCUACGGGAGGCAGCAGUGGGGAAUAUUGGACAAUGGGCGAAAGCCUGAUCCAGCCAUGCCGCGUGUGUGAAGAAGGUCUUCGGAUUGUAAAGCACUUUAAGUUGGGUAGGAAGGGCAGUUACCUAAUACGUGAUUGUUUGACGUUACCGACAGAAUAAGCACCGGCUAAC
rnacentral:rRNA from 1 species